UACAAGGGGAGCUUGCAAGAGAGCAGGCUGAGAGUAAGCGAAUGCUUUGACCCUAUAACCUGAUUUGGAUAAUGCCAACGUAGGGAGAUC
rnacentral:ncRNA from 1 species